UUGAAGUCAAAUUUUCUAGGAUAUAAAACACCAAUGUCAGGCAACAUAACACUGAUUUCUCUUAUAAUAACCUCAAUCUCAGCAAAACAAUUAACGAUAAAUCAGGCUGACAAAGCCAACCACAACCCACUUGCCCUCCUUGACUUGAUGUCAAUAGCAACAGAAACAGCAGCAAGAACAAGAACAAGGUUAACCCUGUUUAUAUUGGAACUUGUUUUGCAAAAAAUUUCUGAACGUGCACAUUUCACAUCUUGCUAGUAAACCAUGAAUCUCUGUCUUAACAUCUCAUCCUGCAACCAAACCGUGACAAGA
rnacentral:lncRNA from 1 species